CCUCUAGUUGACACUUGCUCCCUGUCUUUUAAAGAUCACCUCAGCUCUAAUAUUUCCAGAUGCUAGUGAAUGUUUCUAAGUCAGUUUGCUACUGAAGAUCUCUACCGGCAAAUUAUUUUUACAUCGGCCCCCAGAAUUGGCACCGCACAGCAUGCUAUGUGUACAUAUCUUGGCUUCUGAACAAGAAGGACCACAAGGAACAGCCUACGCUGUUGAAGCAGUUGUAGACUAUCUGUUAUUAAUGCUGAGAGCUCAUCUCUGACUCCAGUGGCCUCUACCCAGGCUCUCCAUCCACAAAGGACAAGAACUGCCCAGCGCUUACUUUUCCAGAAAGCAGACGCCACAGAAGGCACUGUUUCUACCUUGCCUGGCAAAGAUCAUUGGAAAAUGAAUGGUAACUGACAUUGUUGGAAACACUUCCCUUUUCAGAUCCAUGAAAGGCGUUGGGUUCUGAGAUGCAAGCGAGAUCUCCCACCCCGCCCCCCCAAAAAACCCAAAAUAGCUUUAAAAUAUUAAAUAAAUAAGAACAACCUGGC
rnacentral:lncRNA from 1 species